AUGUACCACACGUACACUGCGGUUCUGAGCGCGCCGUCCGCGCCCGCCUGACGGCGGCGCGCGACGUGUUGUUGGCC
rnacentral:sRNA from 1 species